GUGAGGAAUUUUCCGCAAUGGGCGAAAGCCUGACGGAGCGAUGCCGCGUGAAGGAUGAAGGCCUAUGGGUUGUAAACUUCUUUUCUCAGAAAAGAAUUAUGACGGUAUCUGAGGAAUAAGCAUCGGCUAACUCUGUGCCAGCAGCCGCGGUAAGACAGAGGAUGCAAGCGUUAUCCGGAAUGAUUGGGCGUAAAGCGUCUGUAGGUUGUUUAAAAAGUAUUCUGUCAAAGAUUAGGGCUUAACCCUAGAUAGGCAGAAUAAACUUUUAAGCUAGAGUUUGGUAGAGGCAGAGGGAAUUCCCGGUGGAGCGGUGAAAUGCGUAGAUAUCGGGAGGAACACCAAAGGCGAAGGCACUCUGCUGGGCCAAUACUAACACUGAGAGACGAAAGCGAGGGGAGCAAAUGGGAUUAGAUACCCUAGUAGUCC
rnacentral:rRNA from 1 species